ACGGGAGGCAGCAGUGGGGGAUAUUGCACAAUGGGGGAAACCCUGAUGCAGCGACGCCGCGUGAGUGAUGAAGUAUUUCGGUAUGUAAAGCUCUAUCAGCAGGAAAGAUAAUGACGGUACCUGACUAAGAAGCGCCGGCUAAAUACGUGCCAGCAGCCGCGGUAAUACGUAUGGUGCAAGCGUUAUCCGGAUUUACUGGGUGUAAAGGGAGCGCAGGCGGUACGGCAAGUCUGAUGUGAAAGCCCGGGGCUCAACCCCGGUACUGCAUUGGAAACUGUCGGACUAGAGCGUCGGAGGGGUAAGUGGAAUUCCUAGUGUAGCGGUGAAAUGCGUAGAUAUUAGGAGGAACACCAGUGGCGAAGGCGGUUUACUGGACGAUCACUGACGCUGAGGCUCGAAAGCGUGGGGAGCAAACAGGAUUAGAUACCCUGGUA
rnacentral:rRNA from 1 species